CCUGUAAAAGGAAAUAAUAAUGCUACUUACUUCAUAGGGUGGACACGAGGAUUCAAUUAGUAGGACGUAAAGUUCCUAGAACAGUGCCCAGCACACGGUAAGCACUGUCUAAGUGUGUUAUUUUUACCCACCUACCACCAUGUUCUCCAUAUUCUUUGAAAGAUUUUGCUCUCAAAUGACAAGUAAAAGAAAUAAUUAAUGCAUCCUGUAUCCGCCAGGAUCCAGUCAGGAGGCAGAAACCACACCAGUAAUUUGAACAGGGAAAAUUCAGUAUAAAGAACUAGAAACUAGUAAACGGGCUUAACUACUAAGAAGGGUAAAUGGAACGCUAACGAAUACAGGAAUAACGGAUAAAGGGAGCAGCACUACCUCCAGAGAUGACACAGAAAACCCACGGAAGGAAUAAACUUGGAAAAGGCCCUCCUUCCCCGCCCAAGCUGAGACUCAGAACUCCUCAGUGAGGGCGUGGUGGUGGCCCACCGGAUGGCCAAGAAGUUUGCUGAGGGGCUGCAGGCUGGGGUUGGCAAGCACAGAACUGUGCUGGGUGAUGGCGAAAUCUCACAGGGAAGCCGCCCACUGGCAGCUGUGCUGGAAGCGCCCAAAGAGAAGCCUCUUCAGAGUUCCUCUAGCACCUUCCACCGACAAGGCCUAACCGUUGGCACUAGCCGACGGGAUCACAGAGCAGGGCAAAGAAGGCUGUAUUUGGAGCAGAGAAGCACUCAAUUAAUAACUGGCACACACUCCAUCCAUGUUCUCAUAAUUAAAAAAGAUUUAAUGGGGAAUCUGUCCUGUUUCUGUUUUAUGUAUUUAUAGCAGUACAAAGGGGGUGAUGAUUAGGGAGGCCAUGUGUUCCUGGCUGUCUGUGACAGUCACAAGUUAGGCUCAUGGAUGCAGUAUUAUUAACCAUACCCCUAUCACCCUCAGAAAUGUUCAGAUUUGGAGGAUGAAUUACGUGAUCACGCUAGCUCUUGACGUUUCAUUUUCUAUCAAACUUCUCCCACUGAUGGUAGCUAGAAAUACAGUAUAUACAGACGCACCGAUCUGCCUGAAGGAAAGAAAGAGCUCCCCGGACAGUCCAGGGGCUGAGCGGCCAAGAUUCCAGGGAGAGAGACAUGCGUGGCGGUGAGGCGGACCCGCUGAGCUCCUCCCCUCCUUGAGGCGCCGGCUGGUUUAUAAGUGGAAGAAACUGAGAGGCUGAAAAACUGAGCAGAAAGUAGUAGUUUUCAAGGGUAACAUAUGAUUAAAAAAAAAAAAAAAGAGUAUGUCUCUGUCUAAAAGAGGUCUUUUAAUAAGUAUCAAAUGAAAAGUCUAAGUGAUAUGAAAGCAUGGUGUCAUAGUUAAAAUGGCAGCAUUUUUUCUUUCUUAAGGGUACAGAAAGUAACAGUACAUUUUACGGCUUCAGGCGUCUUAGAUUUGAUGAAAUAUGGUAUAUUCGUUCACAUGUGUGAGUGUCUCUAUAGGAGAGAUUCCUGGAAAGGGAACUGCUGGAUCAAAGGAUAUAUGCAUUUGAUAGAUUCUGCUAAACUGUCUUAAAAACAAAACAAAAAUGAACAGUGUUCAUUUCCCCACACAUCUUACCGACGUUGGAUGUUACCGAUUUUUAACAUUUUUUCACAUCUGAUAGGCUCUCGGCAUGUCUUCAUUUCAGCUUCAGUCGAGAGCGAAGGGACCUGUGCUUCCCAGAGUUAUUAUCAUGCUCUCCUCUCAGGUGUAAUUGGUUCAAAUCUGCAUCACACUUCCCUAGAACUUGGACCUUGGGACCCACACAUCUUUCUCCUCCUAAGGGAAAAUAAAGGAUCAUUUCCCCACAUGGGGCUGGCGAGGAUCGUGGUUUAUUAGGGUAGGAAGGGAUCUUAGACGCUGCUUAAUCCCAGGGGUUUUGAGAGGCAUUCAAGAUGGUCUGAACUGCUACAGGUGGCAGUGACAUCUUUUAGACUUCUAUUUAGAAAAAUAAUAAUUAAGAUAAUUCUUCAGACAACCUCUUGCCCAUUAAAAUAGGAUCACUCUGGGAGCGUCUGACUGCAUGUUGACCAGCAUCUGCCGCAGUCCCUGAACACAGGGGGGGGUGUGUGUGUGUGUGCGCGCGCGCGCGCACGUGUGUGACUCAGCUGCUCAGGUGGUUCCUAUGUGGGUUUUGACUGCUCUAUAGCAACAUUUUUUAGCCAUAUACUGCUUAAUAUGUACCCAUAAUGGAAUGCUGGCUAGAGAUAGAAAAUAUAAAAUGUUUGCUGAAAUGAAGUAAAGGAAGACCAUAAAAUGAAAAUUCUACAAAUUUGACUCAAGAUGAUCAGUCACUAGAUGUGCAAAUUGCAUUCAGCUAAUCAAAAUGUUCAUCUGGCUCACCCUGAUGUCUCUUGUAUGUCAGAAACCAAAGCUAAAAAGACAAAAUACAGCGACCAUUAUGUCCAAUGCAGCCUUUCAUUAAUAAGACUAGAGACCAGCCAUUCCCACUUGAUGUUAUUUGCAGAACGGUGCCUUCAUAUAGCAGCCUGAACUCUGUUUUAUCAUUUAGACACAAGAACAUGAGAGUAAUAAAAAUAAACUGGUUUUUUUUCAAAGUGCAAAAAUUCCAAACAUUCACUUAGGAAAGCAGUUUUUGUCUAUUUUUGAUGCUACAAUGAAUCAUUAAAUUUCAUACAUUUUAAUAUACAUUUGUCCCAAUACCAAAUAUGAUAUAUGUUUUUUUAAAAGUUAUUUAACAAAGCAUGCUUUUCCUCUACACAAUUAAUUUACAGUAAAUUAAACAUUUUGCAUUACAUGGUAAAUGGAAAAAGGUUGAGGCUAGUCUUCUUAUAUUAUGGGUAUUACUCAAGAUUGUUUUAAAAUUAUACAUGUAUCUAAAGUUUUUUAUUUUAAAAAUCACUUCUGUAUUACAGAUCACACAAAUUAUUAAGUGAUUAAAUAAUCUCAAGGUGUUGGCAAGAGUGUACAUGGUGAAAGGAGCUCUCCAGUUGAGAUAGGCUAGAAAGCUCUUAUCUGGUCUAGAUCCCUCAAUUUAUAAAUGAGGCCACUGAGGCCCAGAGAGGGUAAGAGACUUACUUAAGGUCACACAGCCAGGGAGGGCCACAGCUCAGACUCUUAAUUCACUGCUCUAUAUGAAGUCAGUCUAUAUGAAGUUGUGAUUUGAAGGUCUCAGGAGACUUCUCCUUGGCUGGAACAUCUCUCUGGUGGCAGAGGUUCUGACAUGGCCCCCCUCCACCUUGAGCAUUGCUCGCACUAGGUUCCUCCUUUAGAGCCCCAAUUUCCUUGAGGACUAAGCUAUUUUAGUUCCCAAAGGCUUCAUGAGGUGCUGCCUUCCCCUGCCAUGAAACCAGGGAUCAGUCAAUAUCUGCUGAAUUAAUAAAGGAGUAGAUCCAUGAAUGCGGGAAGUGUGAAAGGAAGCUGGACCACCAGGGGCCAACUUUGCUGCUCACAGUUCACCAGGUGGGUUCUACCUGAGGGGCUCAGGAGGGAGGAAGAGCAGACUCUGCAAAUGCUACUGGGAGUGAGAAGACACUGUGUAUGGGUCCACAACUUACUUUCUUGUUUAUCAGGAAAUUAACUCCUUUCAAUUUAGGGGGGAAAACCAUGCAUUUACCUUUACAGGUAAAGGUUCCAACUUUUGGGAGGGACUUAUUUCAAAGGCUCACUCUCUGCUGCCCUUGAUUUACCCUGGACUCACCCACGCAUGUUCCAAGGAGCCCCAGUGCUAGCACGGUUGUAAACAGCUCUGCAUCCACCACCUGGCUGGUGGUGCCUGAUGGGAUCUUGCAGGAGUGUUGACCAUCCUCUUUCUGAACUCUUGCUCUGGAUGUGUGUCUCUCAUAGUUUACAAAAUCAUCCGGAAAAUCUCACGGACCUCUUUUUGCUGGGUGGAUAACCCCAAUCUGUAUGCGGCAUUGAGUUUCCUAAAAACACCACCCUCAGGAGGCCCCUGCCUUACACAGAACCUGUCGCUGGCUCCUCAUGGUCCGCCUCAUCACUCUAAUCUUUUCUGCUCAAAUUUCAAGGCUUUUUGCAAUGCUACUGCCAGUCACCCUAACACAACCUGUUACUGUGGACAAGUGCCCAUCGGAUAGGUGACUACCUACAUAAUCUUUAUUCUGCACCCAUCGCUUGCUCAUGCCAGUUCCCCUAAUCUAUUACCAGUGUUCUGUUAUUUGCUCUUCUGGCUCUCCCAGGAAAGCAGAGGUCACCAAACAGGGUGACCAACAUGCCAACAGAGGCCCCUGAGACAACCGAGUGAGGCAACCCUGGAGGAAGAGACCGAGGGGGCCGCGGGCACUGUGUGGAGGUGGCCGCAGCUACCCUCCCAGGGGAUGCAGGCUCCCGGGAGAGUUAUCAGUUAGGUACAGGGAGUACAGUGCCUAGAGCCUGCAAAAAUGUUUACAUUUUAAAUUCUUUUCAAAUCAGGAGAAAAAAUGAAUAUAGUAAUAAUGAAUGUAACAAUAAAUCCAGCCUGGAUUAUAUCUGCCUUUAUUUGGCAGUAGUAAAAUAUAACGAAAACGAUUUUUUUUUUUUUUUUAAAUGGAGGAAGGUGCCCACGAAAACAAAGUGCCUAGAGCACAGGACAGUCAUGAUUCGGCCCCGGGUACCGUGUUUAUAUUUUCUGGUUUAUAAAAAAAGAGAUGGAUAUCCAGAUACUUGUAUGAGACCUCUUGAUUUUAAAUACUAGGAACUAGUUUUAAAAUUAAAACAAACACGAUGUGGCCCAACAAAACGCGCAGGGGCUUAGCCUGCAACCUUCCCAAGGGUCGGGCGAUCGAGAUGUCCCCGGAAUGCCCGGGGCUUGGCGCGGUUUUGGGGACACCCCUCCCGCCUGGAGGGCUCCGGGCACCCCGCUCACGACGGAAGAAGGGCCGCGGAAAAACGGGGGUACGCAAGGCUCUGCUGCUGAAACCCCCGCCCUGUCCGGUCGUGGAGCUCGGUCGCCGCCCUCGGUCCGCCCCCGGCCGGGCGCUCCCCGGCCGCCCCAUUGGCAGGCGCCGGAUUCGCUCAUUCGAGGGGUUUCCCGCUCCCGCCGACUUGCAGGGCGGCGCGGGGCGUGCGGGCCGCGUCCUCCCGCUUCCUGGACCCGCGGUGGCAUCUGCGGCCGGAGAGCCGAGGCCGCCCCGCCCGGCCCCACCCUCCGGCCCGCGGCACCCCCGCAGCGAAGCCCGCCCGCUGGCCGCCGCCCGGUCCCUUGGCCAGGCCCCCUCCUCGCGGGGCCCGCGCCCGGGAGGCGAAGCUCCACGGAGGACGCGGAGGCGGCUGCAGACGGGGCGGCCGGGGCUGCCCCUCCCGCGCUGCCGGGGAGGCGGGCUGCGUUUCCUCCAAGGCCCCAGUGGCCCGCCUGUCACGGCCCUGCCAGCCGGACCCCCAUCCCCGAAGAGACCGCGCAGGAUGCCCGGGCUCACUCGGCAUGGGCCGCCGGGCUGGAAGCUGUAGGAGGCUGGAGGCCGGAGCUCGUUCCCGCCGAGCCCGGAGCCACGGGUGCGCAUGCUCCGCGAAGGCCCGCACCGGGCCUGCGUGAACCCUGAUAGAACCAUCGCGAGGCCGGCUAAGCGGAGCUCCAGUGGCGCAAUCGGUUAGCGCGCGGUACUUAUACAGCAGUACAUGCAGAGCAAUGCCGAGGUUGUGAGUUCGAGCCUCACCUGGAGCACGUCCCUUUUGGGUAAUACACUCACGUGUUCAAAAUUCAAAGCCUUAAAAAUAAACAACCUUUCCUGUUCAAUAUGUAAACAAACAACCUCAUGCUCCCGACAGAAAAGCAGCAAGGACAUGAAAAGGCAAUUUGUGGAAAAAAAUGUGUUAAGAAUGUCACCCUUAGUGUUAUAAAAACUCUUCCACUGAGACCUGCUUGCCUGUCAUUUUGAGAUGUUUUUGAUGCACAGAAGUUUCAACUUUACUAAGCCGUAUUUUUCCCUGAAUGAUCUCUUCGCUGCCUGGAAAGCCAUUGCCCAUCCUGAGGUCAGUUAAACAGUCUUCUUCUUCAGUGGUUUUCGUGGCUUCAUGGUUUGCUCUCUAAUGUGCCUCAGAGAUGUUUCUAUUGGUGAUGUGAUUCCCAGACGGAGCCGAGGACUGGUGUAGCUACCUGAGGGUGCAGCUCUGGGAUGCCACUUGGCCUCAGUCCCCAGCCCCUGCUCUGAACCAUCUGGCAGUUAUUCAUGGCAGGACAAGCAGGCCAAGGGGCACCAGCCUCUGGAAGUGGACCAUCCUUCUGGAGAAGAGGGCCUGGAGACCCACCCUGAGAAACAACACAACUCCAUAGAACCCAUCAGACUACAAAGAGAAAGCAGCAGUCUUCAAAAUAUCAGAGCAGCAUCACAGAAAAAUGAGUCCGCCCUUGAUACUGACUGUCUCCGAGUUUUCUGUGGUUGCACCAUGUAGGCAUGUUCUUUAGAUCAAUGAUUUUCAAAUUUGAGUAUGCAUGAAGAUCACUUGGGAAAUUUAUUUGAAAUGUGGGUGUUUGUAGUCUAUCCUGGAGAUUCAGAUUCAAUGGGACCCAGCAAUGUGCAUUUUAAAGAAGCUCGCAUGGUAAAUUGGAGGCUAUCAGUAGAACACGCUUUGAGAAUCACUUUCCUAGAGCGUAUUUAAUCUUGGGGAAUUUGCUUGCAAUUCAAGAUCCUGCCACCAGAUGGCAGUGGUGCUUUGUGAUGGAUCGAAGCAAAAACCACUUUUCUACUGGGGAUGGUCGCUGGAGACAGUUCUUUGCUGCAAGAAUGUGUAGAAAAUAGUUAGUUAUUUUAGAUAAUUUCUAAAAUUAUUGGUCAUGAAAUAAUUUCAGAGCUUAAUUUUAAAGCUAAAUUUUCCUUUCAAACAUUAAAGCUGAACUUUCCAAUAGGGUGGCCACUGGCCACAUGUGGUUUUUGAGCACCUGAAAUGUGGUUGGUCUGAAUUGAGAUGUGCCGAAGUGUGAUAAACACACUGAAUGCAAAGGCAAAAAAAAAAAAAAAGAAAAAAAGAAUAUGAAAUAUCUUAUUAAUAAUUUUUAUCAUGAUUGCAUGUUGAAAUUAUAAUAUUUUGAGUUAAAUAAGAUCUUAUUAUUAAAAUCAAUUUCACCUGUUGCUUUCUCCUUUUUGAAAAAAGUGAAGACUGGAAAACGUAAAAUUACAUAUGGGGCACGGAUUCUGUUUCUACUGGACAGCACUUCAUUAGAAAUCAUCCAAAUUCAUUUCUUCAUUUUGAAAGUGAGGGAAUUGAGGCCUAAAGUUGAAUGGAAAAGUCUAGACUUGAAGUCAAAAGACCUCCAUUUCAGUGCCAGUCCAAACAUUCAUCGCCUGCCUUUGGGCAAGUCGUGUACCUUCACUGAGCGUCCAUUUCAUCAUCUGUAAAAAAGGCAUAAUUACAGCAGCUCACUUACUUAAAAGACUUAUUUAGAAGACCAAGUGAGAUAACGUGGCUGAAGGAGCUUAUGGAAACUCUCCAGCAUCACAGAGAUCAAAUUACUAUUGUUGUGGUUACUGAUAACCACUGGAACCCGGGUCAGAUAGACUCCCCAAUUCAUUUAAGUGAUCCCUGGUGAAGGUCACCAGAUGGGGCGCUGCCAGACUCUCAGGAGGUUACAACUGAGUGAAGGAGUUACUAGAAACGUUUGUGAAAUGUGAAAUGACAACCCCUGGUUAGAAUAGGGAUUCAAGGAAGGAAUGGGAAACUUGUCACAGGCUUACGUGGCCAAUAGCCAGAGCAAUUUCUUUUCUUUUUUAGGUAUAUUUAUUGAGCUGGCACAGCAGGAUUGGAAGGUUGGAGCAGGAGAAGAGAGAGCAGCAAAAACAGCAAUAAAAUGCUAUCUCUAUUUGCAGAGGGGUUUAUCAUGGGGGGGGGGGGAGGGGAGCCAGACACAAGUGAGACAGGAGAGAGGGAAGACCAAGUGUGGAGCCGCCAGCCUCAGGAUUUCUAAUGGAACCUUUGGUAUUAGGAAUGAGUGACGGGGCUGCCAAUUCCUGACCAGCUCUCCCCUCUCCCCUUCUUCCUUACUACAUAGAAUCUUGACUUUCUUGGGGGUUGGCAAUUGGCCCAGCUAAAAUGCUACAUUUCCCAGCCCCAUCUGAAGCUAGGGGCAGCCACAUGAUGCAGUUCUGGACAAUGAGGUAUAUGCAGAAGUUAGAUUGGGCUUCCAUGAAAACUCCUUGAAAGGGUGGGGACAUUCAGCCAGUGUGUACACAAAAGCCCUUGGCCCUCCCUCUUGCCUGGACUGUGGGUGUGAUGGUGCUGACUCCAGCAACUAUUUUGUGACCGUGAAUUUAAAGUCAACAUCCUAUAGUAGCAGAGGAGAAAGCUAGAAUGAGCCUGGGACCUGGAGAACGUCAUGGGGAUGCUAGACUGCCCUGAAUUUUUAAUGUUUGAUCUCCUCAUUAUGUGAGACAAAUGAGCUCCUAUUUUGUUUAAGCCACUGUUAUUUGGUUUUUCUGUUCUAUGCAGCCAACCUGGUUCCUGAAUGACACUGAGCACAUUAGUGUAUAUGUCAAGGCUCUUGAACUCCAUGUAUCCGUGGCAAGGAGAAUAUUUGAGGAUUUUAUUGGGGUCUGGGGCCAGAAGGUCACAUGAGAUGGACAGGGCCACUCUUAAGCCCUCUCCCAGUAGGCUGGGUAGAGUGAAGCGCCCUUCCCCUCCUCAGGAGAACGCAGAUAGUAGUAGCUCUGAGAAUCUUGAAAAAGGAAAAACAGGAACACCACAGGAGCGACCCUGAAGAGAAGAGAAUACUUAGGUGCUAACUGGUGCCCCCACCCUGCUUCGCAUCUUCCCUGCAGAUGGGUUUAGGUGACGUGAGGGGGAAACCAACUGGCAAAAUAUAUUGAAUUUGAACUGG